rnacentral:lncRNA from 1 species
ACAGAUCAUUAAACCCCGAGAGCAGGCCCAGCCGCCCCGCAAACAAGAUGAAGUACAAACCACCACGUGAGAGGGAGAGAGGGAGGUACAGGGGAGAACCGCAGGCCCAGCCUGUACCCCUCAACCCAGACCUAGGGAACCUGGGCUUCCAAGGUACCUGUAGGGCCCAAGGGUGGCCCACCCUCUCUGUCCUCUGCCUCUUACUUCCUGCAUGUUUCUCCCAUCUUCAUGUACCUCUUUUUUUUUUUUUAACUAAUUAUCCUUUACUGUCCUGUCAAUGAGGCAUUUGCAGCAGAACCUGGUGUAGCUGACUGCAUAGACCCUGGAGCCCCUUCACUUGGGAAUGAGCUGGAAGGUGACAACCCAACUGAAAUCACAUCACGCAGCUGCUGUGGUACAAUGUGACAGGUGACAUGUCGCAUCUUCAGGACCUCAGUCUCCCCCAUUUCCACCCCAGAGGACCAGAGAUGGCCUGCCAUCUAGGACCCACCCAUGAAAGAACCAGAACAAAUGAAGAAGUGGAGUGAGAAAUGUUCCUGGGAAGAAAAACCUGGAAUGUACAGCUACUGAAGAGGAACCCAAAGCUUAAUCACAGACUCCUAACAUCAAAAUAAAGGGAACCAGAUAGCAGCAUUAAAAAUCUCACUCGCCACACAGGGCGGUAUUCACCAGCAAUCUUAGCAUUUUGGAGAUGGAACCUGGAGGAUCGGGAGUUAAAACUCAUCUCCAGAUACAUAAUGGGUUCUAGGCUACCUGAGACUCUGUUUCAAAUAAUAAACAAGUCUCCCCCAUACCAGAAGGCUUAUCAAUCCUGUUUCCAGAACCAAUUCCUUGCCAUGCAUCAAAAGCAUGAUCAGGCAGGGCCAGCAAGAUGGUUCUCUGGGUAAAGUACUUAUGACCUAGGUUAGAUCCCUGGAAUACAGAUAAAGGUUUCCAUAAAGACAAUGGAUUCUGUAAAGUUGUCCUCUGACCUUCCAAUGAUCCUUCAUUGGCAAUAUAUACACACGUGUAUACACAAUGAUAAAUAAAUAAUUUUAAAGUUGUACCUAC